UGAGGAAUAUUGCCCAAUGGACGCAAGUCUGAGGCAGCAACGCCGCGUGGGCGAUGAAGGCCUUCGGGUUGUAAAGCCCUUUUCUGGGGGAAGAGGAAGGACGGUACCUCAGGAAUAAGUCACGGCUAACUACGUGCCAGCAACCGCGGUAAUACGUAGGUGGCAAGCGUCAUCCGGAUUCACUGGGCGUAAAGCGCGUGCAGGCGGUUUCGUAAGUCGGACGUGAAAGCUCCUGGCUUAACUGGGAGAGGUCGUUCGAUACUGCGGGGAUUGAGGUCGGGAGAGGGACGUGGGAUUCCCGGGGUAGUGGUGGAAAGCGUAAAUAUCGGGAGGGAAACCAGUGGGGGAGGCGACGUCCUGGGCCGCACCUGACGCUGAGA
rnacentral:rRNA from 1 species